rnacentral:rRNA from 1 species
GGAGUUAGCCGGUGCUUCUUCUGUGAGUGAUGUCCUUCCUGCCGGCUAUUAACCCGCAGGCCUUCUUCCUCACUGAAAGUGCUUUACAACCCGAAGGCCUUCUUCACACACGCGGCAUGGCUGGAUCAGGGUUGCCCCCAUUGUCCAAUAUUCCCCACUGCUGCCUCCCGUAGGAGUCUGGGCCGUGUCUCAGUCCCAGUGUGGCUGAUCAUCCUCUCAGACCAGCUACGGAUCGUCGCCUUGGUGAGCCGUUACCUCACCAACCAGCUAAUCCGACAUAGGCUCAUCCGAUAGCGCGAGGCCCGAAGGUCCCCCGCUUUCCCCCGUAGGGCGUAUGCGGUAUUAGCCUGGGUUUCCCCAGGUUAUCCCCCACUACCGGGCAGAUUCCUAUGCAUUACUCACCCGUCCGCCGCUCGCCACCAGGGAGCAAGCUCCCCGUGCUGCCGCUCGACUUGCAUGUGUUAGGCCUGCCGCCAGCGUUCAAUCUGACACAGACACUAACUCAGA